rnacentral:tRNA from 1 species
GAUGAAGUGACUGAAAAUUAAGGUGAUAGACUGUAAAUCUAUUUAUGAGUUAAAUUCUCCUUCAUCA